GAUUACAUUUAAUUUCUCUCUGUAAACGCGGCUG
ncrna:Bacteroides finegoldii DSM 17565 S4-Bacteroidia ribosomal protein leader